GGUAUCUAGCAGGAGAGUGGCAUGGGGUCAGGUUUGUGUCCUGUGUCUCGUGGAAGGUACGUGUAGCCUGAAUGUGUGCGUGUGUCUGUGUGUGAAUGGGCGCGUAUGGGGAGGGCCAGACGAGUGUGUGAGUCCGCCCCUGCGCCCCUCUCCCCACCUACACCUUGAUCUUAUUUGAUCGGGUCUGACCCCAGCCCGCUGGGCCAACCCAAAAUGAAAUGAUUGCCUCCCUCUGGGGCGCUGUGCAGCGAGGCAAAAAGGAAGAAAGAAAUUUAAGGUCUAAUGUGAAACCACAAAAGAGUAAUGCUUACAGCUGUGGCCACUGGCCGAGAAUUCUGUUUUGUGGUAGCCAGUAUGUCUGUUUAAGGACGAAAGGAGAAACCCAGA